rnacentral:lncRNA from 1 species
AUGUUUAUCGAAUAAUCAUUGAUUCAUAAUUUUGAAGGGAAAAAUGUGCACAUUUCAUUUGUCAACUUACAAGUUACAGACCUUACAAUUUGUUCUCAUUGGCGGAUCCAGGGGGGGGGGACACCCCCCACCCCCUUUAUUUUGGCCGCUCAAUGCAUUUGAAUGGGGACAUAUAGUUGGACCCCCCCCCUUUUGUCCUGGGUUUGACCCUCCCACCCCCCUUUUUAAAAUGGCUGGAUCCGCAACUGAUCCUACGGAAUCUAUAUUGAGAUACUAUGAUAGGCUAUAUAGCUAUGAAUCGAAGUUCUAUAUUACCACACUUGUGCAUAGUUGCAUAUUCCAGGGAAAAUAUAGGCUUUGAGCUUGUUAAAAUUCAAUGUGCAUCAUAAUUCAAAUCAUUGAAAGUCAUAAAGGACACCGUUCCCCUCCCCCUAUUAUCAUGUGUAUUUCAUUUAUUCCCUUAAUUAUUUUGCAUACAUCACCC